AUCAAUCAUCCGCUGCACAGUCAGUGGACGACGAAUGAUCCGUGCGUCACUAAUGUUUGUACCGAGGCUGGUAUUACAGAUCUUCGUAUAAAUUGUCCUUCAAGACCACCACCACCCCAUCACAGCUGCAGUUCUUACAAGCCAGAAGGAGAAUGUUGCCCACUCUGGAAAUGCAGUGGGUGUGUUGAUGAGGCGGGCGAACACCAUGAAUUUGGUAAGGAGUGGUACAUCGAGGACCCCUGCCUUACCUACACCUGUACACAGGAUGGAAUAAAACUGAAGUACAGGUAUUGUAUUCUGGCUCUUCCGCCUCACUCCAGCUGCAAGGAAUAUAGGCCGGAGGGUGUUUGCUGCCCUACUUGGAACUGUAGUGGGUGUGUUGACGACCUGGGGGAGUACCACGAGCUCUAUAGCAGCUGGCAGUCAGACAUGUGUACCUCCCAUGUGUGUUCUCUUAAUGGGACAUACACCACGGCUAUGGAGUGCCCUGACCCACCUCAUGCGAACUGCGUGAACAUUACCCAAGAAGGAUCAUGUUGUCCCCAUUGGAG